rnacentral:tRNA from 1 species
GUCAAUAUGUCCGAGUGGUUAAGGAGAUAGAUUCAAAAUCUAUUGGGCUUUGCCUGUGUAGGUUCAAAUCUUGUUGUCGAUG